UUGACAGCUGAAUUAUCCAAUAAGAGUCUGAUGUAUGUAAAUAUACAUUUAUCUUUUUACAAAAUGUUUUAUUAUAUUAAGCAAAAAAUGCUUUUUAAGAGUGUAUCAUACGGCAGACUUUCCUGCAGAUGCUAUAAAGCAUGGCCUUCAUAUAGGACUAUUGUUGAGAGGCAGUUAGCAGUAAACUACCUGCUGAUUGUCCUGCUGUGUGUGUAUGCAUCUCUGUGUGUCUGUGUGUGUGUUUUAAGAUUAGGAUGGGAGGAAGGUCACACGUGCUAAUAAUCACACAUGAUUGGAAUCAGCUGUUGGCACCGCUCUCUUGCUAUUGUGAGGAAAUAUUAGAGCUCUCGGAGCCCCAGGACGUUCAUCAUCUCAAAUUGUGAGCUUGUUUACCAUAUUUCUAAAGUUUGAAUUUUUCAGCAAAUAUAUCCGACAGUGUCUGACCACACUGCUCUAAAAUUAUAGGCACAGAAAUAAGUCCGGGAGAGAGCAUGCAGGUCUCAGAGGGGAUCAGUCAUUUCACAGCAUUGUACUUUCAGCAUAACUUGUUAUGAAUUUGAGUUGAUUUAUCACACGCACGUACAAUUCUGACUGGCUGUUUGUUCACUUGGAUGGAUUGCGGUAAACAGAACACCUUUUACGACAAUUCAGCAGUUUACUGGAAUACUUUGACAGUGGUCUACAGGAAAAUGGUACAAUCAUGCAGUACUUCAAAAAGCCCUGUUCAGUUUGUUUGUCACCUCUGUAGAUGGACAUGCUUCAUUAUCAAGACUUCUCUGUGUUCUCCUUCCCAUGGCAGAGCUUCGACCACAGUCACCCACCUCCCCUCUCCUCCCUCACGCAAACUCCCUCUAUGUAAAAAUCCCUCCUGGAGGGAGAAAAUGGUCCACAUCACUUUCACUUUGAUUUGAGAUGAACCAGACACUGCUCGCUGAGUGUUGUAUAAUGCGAAGAUGAUGUCUGGGUGGCUCUCUCUCAUGCACCGUAUCUAACCACUGGCUCCCUCCGGGGUUCUCUCUGAGAUGUUUUGCAACCACCAAUGAGAGACAACUGCCAAACAAGCCCAAGGAAAUCCGAAGCUGUGUACUAGAGUUGUUACACCACUCACUGCCAAAGACAUUAGCUCUGAUUAUACUUGCUGUGUUUUGUUGGGGUAAACUCACUCUUUGCGAAGCAAUUGUCAGAGCACAUCUCUGAGCUGCUCUGGGAACAGCUCAGGUUCACUAUGGUGGAGGCUGUUGGGCUUCUUGCAGCCCACCACCACUUGUUUUCCCAUUGGUAUGAUCUUCAAAAUACUAAAUAUGAAGUGCAUCAUGGUGGUCUCUCCAAGUAAACAUUUUUAGAUAAAACAAUUACAUCAUUAGUUCCAAAAAUGCAAUAUGCUAUACAUUAAGAUACAUUAUAAUACAAGUUGUCAUUACAUCAAUAACGCAUACAGAAUAUAAUUUAAAAAGAAACACAGUGGUGCUGUUUUUGUUUCUCUAUGAGACUUUUAGCAACAUGGAUGCAAUGUGGUCUGAUAAAGAUAAAGGGGGAUAAUUAAGAACACAGUGCCAAACUGGUAUUUGGGGGUUUAGGUAGAAGAUUAUUUAGUGUGGAAAUGGAUAGAAAUCAGUGCAGUCUUAACUGGGAUGUGACCUCAAAAACUAGUGUAUAAAAUAUAAAAUAAAACGGCAACAAAUAAUAAUAAUAUUAAUUGUGAAGUUAUCCUCAUAUAUUCAUUAAAUUAAAAGACGAUCAAAAUGUACAAGCUGUUAAAAAGACAUUAUGUAUUGGGUUGAUAUUUAAAAUAAAAAAAAAUAUUAAGCGUGUACUCGAGUCGUUUUAAUAUAAACGUGAGGCAACAACGGCGCAAGGAACAGUAGCUGCCACGACGAAGAAUUGAUACAACACUGCCCUCUACCUAAUAUAGUGAGAAGUGAAUGUAAGUAUUUGGAAAGUUUACGAGAAUUUUCGUUUAUAUUUCAUAAAAAUACUAAUAUUACUGUAACCUUGAAUAAUAUGUAAUUCUAACUUAUAUUUCUAUAUUUGUAUUUCUAAAUUAGUAAUGUCUCUCAUUUUUAACUUUUUAUGUUUGUUUGUUGUUUUAAAAGUUUGUUUGUUCCUCUAAUCUGUGCUGUGUUGGUUUUCUAUUUGUGUAGUGUUGCAAUAACAAUAAUAACAAUAAUAACAAUAAUAACAGUAUGCUGUUGACGUCACAUAGCACUAAUUAAUUUUAUUGACAACACCUGCACUUUUCACCCUGUGACCUGGCCUAUAACGUAACAUUUUUCUUAGUUCGUUCUCAUUUCUUUGUAUUUUUUCGUUUAUUUGUACUUUACUUUUAAUCACGUAGGUCCAUUAGGAACUAUAAAAUAAUGAUUUUUAAACGUAGAACGUAGACAGUGUCACGUUUAUUUUACCAGCGUCGGUAAGGUGGACGUAGCGUCACAGGUGGAACCGUAAACGUUGAUGCAGUUGUACUUUUGCUGUUGGACUAGAUCUACAUUUACUUGGAACUUUGCUGAAGUGGAGGCAACUCAACCAUCAGGUUGUGUCAUCACAUGUUCUCCUGCCAGGGGAAAAAGUACUAACCCAAACACAUUUAUUGGGCGAACUGUGACUCAACAGGGACCAGAACCAGGUCACAUGAUGCUCAGAGAGGAACCUGAUGUUUGGAUUGCACCAAUCUUCCCAUGUGAGCCUGACCCAGUUUACGCCACCCAUGUACUGCCUUCUCUUCAACAUCUGUCUCCAAUUCACAUUGUGCGGUCAGAAGGAAUCCCUGGCAUGUGGAGUGUGGUUUGAAGGAGCGCUGAAGGAAGCCACCUCUUCACUCCUACUCAACAACACAAUGUGGCGUCAACUCCCUGACUGAUCCAACUCCACUCUCUGGAAGGGUUGCAUGAACCCCAUGGAAACACUGAGAGGCAGUGGCAUUUGACUUUAAUUAAUAGAGGCGAGUUGAGAUCAAACAGGCCCACUCUGCUCCCACGACUGGGAGGAACAAAUGCAGGACAUGGGGAUUUUUGGAAUUGUUCUACAUUUGUCCAUUUUUAUCUUUUUUUCUGUUGUUGUAUAUUUAAUUGAAUAUGUUAGUGCAGUAUCAAUAGAUGGCCACCAAAUCUUUAGAUCUCAUGUUGUGUGGGGGUCUUUAUCAGUCCAGAUGUGUGCGUUUUUAAAGCUUGGGAAUCUACAGUCACUUUCAACACCUGCAUUCCCCUCUCUAAUAAAACACACUUUGUUCGCUCCCUAGAGUGACUUCAGGGCAUGUUAGACACAAUCACACCCCCAUGGGCUCCAACCACAGGCCUCACCACGGGUCUGUGGACAUUCUGUGUUUAUCAUCAUGGAUUGUGAGAAACUCAGAUAUGAUGAUGUUGCGAUCACAAGUUGAAAAAGAGGGACAAAAAACUAGAGAAGCACCGUCAUUGAAUAGUCACACUUUUAGCAGGGAUAUUUUGAUUUAAUGUGAUGAAUAUUUUAAUAUGGAUUAUAGUGAAACUACUUUGUGUCCACCUUUAACAGUUUAAUGCUCUCAGCUUGUAUUCCAACCACAGUUAUUAUUUCUAACACCCAUUAUUUAAUUUUAGAUAAUUUCAAACACCUGCCCACAGAGUCAUAUUUGAUAAACUGUUGUUCUCCUACACACACACACACACAAAAUCAUUAUUCUCGGCUGGAAAUAUCAUGACAUGGAAAUGUUUGUUCACUCACAAUGAAAAACUUCUAGCAAAGGAAAACAGUAUUUUUAUAGACCCAGCACUGGGUUUCACGUCCUACAUUAACACCUGUGUGACUCUAAGAAGGACUGAAGACGUAUGUGCAUCCAUUUCUCCUAUAUCAGCAGACUUAUGUGCCCAAGAUGUGCACUAAAACUUUAAAUGAAAAACCUGUUGACAUGUCCACGGGGACAAGAGGGACUCUUGUGGGAUCGCGGCUCUCUCGUCGGCUCAGCUGGCCCAAUAGCUAGCGGGCUGCCAUGAGGUGUUUAAUGGCUGUGUGAAGUUCCCACAUGGGGGAUGGCUGCUGGGAACAUGGAUGAAUCCAGCCCCCUUGCUCCCUCCUGGUCCACAAACACAGCUCCACUCCAGUGAUGGAUGAAACAGGCCGGAGCCUACCUCAGCCUUAUUUAUGGAAGCAGAAAGCGCUCUCCCCGUCUGUCCGCAAACUGCACCGUGAAUGCCUUUUCAUGCAGGGCGAGACGAGGGGGAGAGAGAGAGAAAGCCAUCUGACAUAGAAAUGACUUACAUGUUAGUAACAGUCCUGUUGGAGUGAGGAAGUGAUAGCAGUUUGUAAUAUGGACAUUCCAGAGGUGGAAGCGAUGCAGACCACAACUAUCUUGGGCUGCUCUGUUGUUCUAAUCAUGGUUAGCAUCGUCUAUGGGCUGCAGGUUCCUGAGAGCCCUGCAAGUGUUGUUGACCUGUAAAACACCAUUUCCUUCCAAGUGGGUAUUUGGUUGACAGGAAGGGAUCAGUGAAGUAGUUAAGCGCUGAACAUUACACCCAUAUGUGAUUGUUAAACUCCUAACUCCAAACACAUGGCUAUUUACAGCCUGUGUUGCUGUGAUACCUUUGCCUUUUGCAACAACUUUGAAGGAUAUUUCAUUACCUUAAAAAUAUUCUGACAAUUUCUCUCAGCUCUGAUUUAACCCUAAUAAUGUCCCCUGAAGACCAACACCUUAGGUCCCUUGGGGUCAAAAAUGACACCACAUUGUUUUCAUCAUUUUGUUAUUUACAUGAUAUAAAUAGUCAAUCAAUUGUCAAUUAAGUAUCACUGCAACUUAAGUCAGGAUGAACGACACCACAAUUAGCACAAUUUCAGACCAAGGUCUUGAUGUAUUUCUGUAGAUGUCAAUCAAGUGUACAUUUUGACAACAAAUGUCAAAACAAAAUAUUAAGAUAAAAUAAACAUUUAUUUUUAUAUCUGACUAUUGUCCUUCUGUUUUGGCUGUUGUUUUGUUUCUUGUCUGCCUACAUUUGGAGUUGUUUACUUACAUGUCAGAGUUUUUUGCAAAACUGUUUUGGAGAGAAUUUGAGUGGAACGCUGAUUUUAUUUUGUGAAUUUAAUAUCUGGUCAUUUCAGACUGCUGUUUGUGUCUCUACAGUAUAUACAGUUUAUCAGUAUACAAUACACCUGUUUUGAAAUCC